GGCGUGGUGGAAUUGGUAGACACGCUAGACUUAGGAUCUAGUGCCGCAAGGUGUGAGAGUUCGAGUCUCUCCGCC
rnacentral:tRNA from 1 species